rnacentral:pre_miRNA from 1 species
AGACACAUCCCUUGGGGAUCUUGUUGAAAUGCAGAAUCUGGCUGAGUAGGUCUGGGUUGGGGUCUGAGAUUCUGCAUUUCUAAUCAGCUCCCAGGAGAUGCUGCU